UGACCGCUCUCGUGGCUUAGUUGUUAGAGCGUCCGUCUCGGAUGCGGUAGGUCGCGGGUUCGACCUCCAGCCAAGUCAU